UUGAAGUUCAUAAAAUAACCAAAAAAAACUUUAGGAUGACACAAACAAAAAAAUAGACUUUCAGGGAACAUACCUAAUAUCUGACGUGUCCCAUAAUAUUUCCUCAUCUUUACUAGAUAAGAUCUGUGAUUGUCAUUUAUUUUUAAAUCAUUAUUUAUCGAAUAAGCAUGUGGUGGGCUAGAUUUUGUUGGUAAAAUUUAUAAUCAGCACAGUCCAAAAAUAUGAGGCAAAAUGUAUAUGAUUUUUAGGUUCGCUUUGUACGAAAAUUGAUAUUAGUGAUUAAAAUGUAUAAAAGAUAUUAUAUUGUUGUAGUUAGACGAACAUAGAUUGACUUUUAUGAUUUUGUUACUAACUGCAACCAGAUAAACUUCCAUAUGAAUUAGAUUACUUAAAAAAAUAUGAUUGUAUCUGCAGAUAGAUUUAGUAUUUUUAUUAUUUCAUCUUCUCACUAUUAAUAUUACCGCUUAAGAUAAUAUAUUACAUUAACUCAUCAUAUCCUUAGUUAUUAUAGUGAAAGUAAACGAAAGUGUCCUUUCUUACAUACAAUACAGCGCCCCUGGCGGUGACUAACGUAAACACACGAUGACAGAAGAUGCACGACGUCGACAGUUGGUGUGAGAAUGGAUACUUACGUUUACGUAAACUAAAAGUAGUAGAAGAUAGAAGAGUCAUUACAUUAUUGGGUUGAGUACGGUCAGUAUUCUCAGACCACAAAAGCAUCAUGCCACGAGUCAGAUAUGCUGAAGAACCGAUAUCAGAUAGGGUACUUUACGUUCCUAGAAUGCUGUACCGAUCUUUAGGUAAAGAAAAUUUCUAGGACGUCUUUACUGAGGUUCUAAUUACACGUGUGGUCUUUUGGUCUGGGAAAUUGAGUACCUAUACCUAAAAUUUAAGCUACCUACCUAUAUUAGAUAGUAUAUUGCCUAUGUUCAUUUACGUUAUAUUAUGUAUACUUAAUUUGUUAGUCCUGUUUAUUUCUACCAUUAAAUGAUAAAAGUUAAUAUUCUUUA